AUCCCAGCAGUAGGGCAUACCGGUCCAAAUUGGAACGAUACAGAGGAGACUAGAAGGGCCCCUGCGCAAGGAUGACGCACAAAAACAUAUUUGUAUUUU